rnacentral:rRNA from 1 species
GACGAACGCUGGCGGCGUGCUUAACACAUGCAAGUCGAACGAUGAAGCUAGAGCUUGCUCUGGUGGAUUAGUGGCGAGCGGGUGAGUAACACGUGAGUAACCUGCCCCGAACUCUGGGAUAACUGCUGGAAACGGUAGCUAAUACCGGAUAUGACCAAUGAAGGCAUCUUCUGUUGGUGGAAAGAAUUUCGGUUCGGGAUGGACUCGCGGCCUAUCAGCUUGUUGGUGAGGUAACGGCGCACCAAGGCGACGACGGGUAGCCGGCCUGAGAGGGUGAUCGGCCACACUGGGACUGAGACACGGCCCAGACUCCUACGGGAGGCAGCAGUGGGGAAUAUUGCACAAUGGGCGCAAGCCUGAUGCAGCAACGCCGCGUGAGGGACGACGGCCUUCGGGUUGUAAACCUCUUUUAGUAGGGAAGAAGCGAAAGUGACGGUACCUGCAGAAAAAGCACCGGCUAACUACGUGCCAGCAGCCGCCGUAA